rnacentral:tRNA from 1 species
AGGAAAGGUCAUUUGGUGGCGUUUAGAGGCUUCUAACCUUUUUAUAAAGAGGUCAAUUUCUUUUUUUCCUU